rnacentral:rRNA from 1 species
AUUGAACGCUGGCGGCAGGCUUAACACAUGCGAGUCGAGCGGGGUGAUGUAGCUUGCUACAUUACCUAGCGGCGGACGGGUGAGUAAUGCUUAGGAAUCUGCCUAUUAGUGGGGGACAACAUUCCGAAAGGAAUGCUAAUACCGCAUACGCCCUACGGGGGAAAGCAGGGGAUCUUCGGACCUUGCGCUAAUAGAUGAGCCUAAGUCAGAUUAGCUAGUUGGUGGGGUAAAGGCCUACCAAGGCGACGAUCUGUAGCGGGUCUGAGAGGAUGAUCCGCCACACUGGGACUGAGACACGGCCCAGACUCCUACGGGAGGCAGCAGUGGGGAAUAUUGGACAAUGGGCGCAAGCCUGAUCCAGCCAUGCCGCGUGUGUGAAGAAGGCCUUUUGGUUGUAAAGCACUUUAAGCGAGGAGGAGGCUACCUGGAUUAAUACUCUGGGAUAGUGGACGUUACUCGCAGAAUAAGCACCGGCUAACUCUGUGCCAGCCGCCGCCGUAAUAC